GACGAACGCUGGCGGCGUGCCUAAUACAUGCAAGUCGAGCGGACCAAAGGGAGCUUGCUCCUGGAGGUUAGCGGCGAACGGGUGAGUAACACGUGGGCAACCUGCCUGUAAGACUGGGAUAACAUCGAGAAAUCGGUGCUAAUACCGGAUAAUAAAAAGAACUGCAUGGUUCUUUUUUGAAAGAUGGUUUCGGCUAUCACUUACAGAUGGGCCCGCGGCGCAUUAGCUAGUUGGUGGGGUAACGGCUCACCAAGGCGACGAUGCGUAGCCGACCUGAGAGGGUGAUCGGCCACACUGGGACUGAGACACGGCCCAGACUCUUACGGGAGGCAGCAGUAGGGAAUCUUCCGCAAUGGACGAAAGUCUGACGGAGCAACGCCGCGUGAGUGAUGAAGGUUUUCGGAUCGUAAAACUCUGUUGUUAGGGAAGAACAAGUGCCGUUCGAAAGGGCGGCACCUUGACGGUACCUAACGAGAAAGCCACGGCUAACUACGUGCCAGCAGCCGCGGU
rnacentral:rRNA from 1 species